rnacentral:rRNA from 1 species
GACGAACGCUGGCGGCGUGCUUAACACAUGCAAGUCGAACGAAGAGCGAUGGAAGCUUGCUUCUAUCAAUCUUAGUGGCGAACGGGUGAGUAACGCGUAAUCAACCUGCCCUUCAGAGGGGGACAACAGUUGGAAACGACUGCUAAUACCGCAUACGAUCUAAUCUCGGCAUCGAGGAUAGAUGAAAGGUGGCCUCUACAUGUAAGCUAUCACUGCAGGAGGGGAUUGCGUCUGAUUAGCUAGUUGGAGGGGUAACGGCGCAGCAAGGCGAUGAUCAGUAGCCGGUCUGAGAUGAUGAGUGGCCACAUUGAGACUGAGACACGGCCCAGACUCCUACGGGAGGCAGCAGUGGUGAAUCUGCCGCAAUGGACGAAAGUCUGACGGAGCAACGCCGCGUGAGUGAUGACGGCCUUCGGGUGGUAAAGCUCUGUUAAUCGGGACGAAAGGCCUUCUUGCGAAUAGGGAGAAGGAUUGACGGUACCGGAUUAGAAAGCCACGGCUAACUACGUG